GGAGGAAAACCCAAGGCCGGCUAAAGGGAUCGGUCUUGAAACCCGACGGGGCCAUAACGGGCCGCGAGGGUUCGAAGCCCUCUUCCUCCGCCA
rnacentral:tRNA from 1 species